CACUCCUACGGGAGGCAGCAGUGGGGAAUUUUGGACAAUGGGCGAAAGCCUGAUCCAGCAAUGCCGCGUGUGUGAAGAAGGCCUUCGGGUUGUAAAGCACUUUUGUCCGGAAAGAAAUCCUUGGCUCUAAUACAGUCGGGGGAUGACGGUACCGGAAGAAUAAGCACCGGCUAACUACGUGCCAGCAGCCGCGGUAAUACGUAGGGUGCGAGCGUUAAUCGGAAUUACUGGGCGUAAAGCGUGCGCAGGCGGUUUGCUAAGACCGAUGUGAAAUCCCCGGGCUCAACCUGGGAACUGCAUUGGUGACUGGCAGGCUAGAGUAUGGCAGAGGGGGGUAGAAUUCCACGUGUAGCAGUGAAAUGCGUAGAGAUGUGGAGGAAUACCGAUGGCGAAGGCAGCCCCCUGGGCCAAUACUGACGCUCAUGCACGAAAGCGUGGGGAGCAAACAGGAUUAGAAACCCCUGUAGUCCCA
rnacentral:rRNA from 1 species